ensembl:lncRNA
CCUUUGGGAGUGAAAGGUGUUUCACGUGCACCCCCUCUGCCCGGCGGUCUGGGAACCAGUGGAGGAAAAUCAAGCGGUGCAAACUUGUCCGGCGUCCAAAAUCUACUCUAAAAGAGGAAAAGACUCGUGAGAGGAAUCGGAGGCCGUUUAAUCCAACUGUGGUGAGAAUUUCCAGCUUAAACCGGCGGAUUAAAUUUACAAACGAGUCCACCUUUAUUUUGAUCCCCAUGAUGCAGUCACAGGAUGUAUGUGACGUCACCCCUGAUCCACAGUCCGUUCCAGAGCAGGUUGAGUUUGAUUGUUUGUAUGAAACCACCAACCAAGAGGGCGGCUACUUCUGCAACCAGCUGCUUAAUGGUAUUCAGGAGUACUUGGUUUGGUUUGGUCUACGUAAUAAAUUAUUAAAUGAAUGCUGUAUUGAAGAAGACUUGGAAAUAGAGAUAAACAUACAAUGUUUACUGAGGGAAUAAAUCAAGAGAGUCAUUUUCUCUUGGACUUCUAUAGGACCAGUGGAGUCGCUCCCUGGUGGUCACCUGAGAGAAUGCAGCUUCAACACGUCGUAUCGUAGAAACGUUUCGUUUGACUAAGUCUCUUCCUCCGCUGAACGAGCAGCUUGUUGGAACCAGACUUCUCCUCCUCUGGCUGAGGACAAAGAGAAACAUCUGGAGGUCAAGACUUCCACCUCUGGUUUAAGAAUAAUAAUAAAACAACAAGCUGAAGCGUCCGACACCACCACCCGUCUCGGGUUUCCUCCGGCGGGGUCGGACGUGGGUGUCGGGGCGGCCGUUCACCGGUGUGAGGCCUCAACAAUUAGCAUGCUGAUUCCGCAUGUAAUCAGAUCGCCCCGGGAUGCUCGCCGGUCGGCUUCUAUACAUCGGGCCGGGCGCCGGCGUGGGACCGCCGCAGCUUUCUGAUUGUCUUCAACGCAGCAUAUGCUAAUUGCUGAUUGUCUCCAAUAUUAUAUGCUAAUUGUUAGGAAUUAGCAUAAAUCAUUAACAUUUGGGCCCUAAUUACACAAUGAAAAAAAGGAAGAGUGAAAACCACUCGGCUUGUGCUCCGACUUCCUAAUGUGUGAUGCGAUUAAUGCGGCGCUCAUUUGCAUCCCGGAGAAGGAGCCUGAAAUAUUAAAAGUGUUGUUCGGAGAAAAUCGUGAUUAGUCCCUAAUCAAAUGUUGUUUCUGCCGUUUUGAAAGGUGUAACAGUGUCGGCCCUCAGGUGAGAGGAAGCUCUCAGAAACUCGCAGAGCAACAAUCCCCCCCACUGCGCCCCCCGACCCCCCCAAGCAUGCAAAUGAGUCCCGGAUCAAAAUGUGCAAUUAGCGGCAAGGCUUCUUUUUUGAGGGGAUUUAGAGAAACAAAUGAACGUGGAGUCGUGGUUGAGGAUUCUCUUUGAUGUCUGCGGUUUAUCUCGUGUUAAUGAGGCGCUCAAACAAAAAGAAACAACCAAAUUGCUUUGAUUUCAUCAUAAUUGUAGUCGCGGGUCUGUUCACAUCGUUUAGCCGCCGGCGAGAAAACAAGCCGAUAUUCCACCGCGGUACAAACACGGUGGUGCUCGAGUACCAGUCCGUGGUUAACGAGGUAAAAGUACUCAGAGGAGACACGAAAAGUAUCCUGUGUCUCCGGGACAAUUGGGAAAGAAGAAAGACGGAGGCGAGAACGUCAAGAUGAAAAGUCAAAAGAAAUGAAGGGAAAAAGUAGAAGGAAUUAAAGGAGAGAAGGACACAAGGAAAGGGAUUCAAACUGAAAGGUGAGGAGGCGAAGAAGGAUAAAAUAAGAAAAGAAAGAAAUACAUAAGGUCACUUCCUGUUGACCAUAUAUGAGUCAAAUCGUCAGCCCACGAACCACGUCUGCGUCUCGCACUCGUCACUUCUAAGCUGAUCAAAAUGAAGAAUGAUUUAAUGAAUGUUGUGAAAGCAGAGACCUGCGACCCGCCGGACCUCUCCGCUCGGCCUCCGGGACCAACACCGGCCCUCCGACGGCUUCCUCCUGUUAACAGCAGCCCGGGUCGAGCUCCCAGGGCCACAUGUCGGAGGAGGGGAGGGGGGGGGGUUCACCUCCAAGGUAAUUGAAACAAGGGCUUUUGUAAGAAUCUGCUUGCAAUCCACAGGAGAGGGGGCAAAGAGGGGAAGAAUGAGAGCUUUAAUGAAUGGAGGCCGUCAUUAAAAUGAUACCCAUUUCCUCUGAGAUCACUUCCAAUUUAAAUGUGAGGGGGGAAAAGAGAAAAGGCGUAAUUGAAAGAUCUUUUUUUUCUGCCUUCUGCCAUUCAAACUGUAAAUUUGAAUCUGGGGGAGAAGAGGGAGAUUGUUUGUGGCCAUAGCUCACUAGUUCCAAUUACUCUUUUUUUUUUUUUUCCUGCUGCACUGGGAGCCACAAGGGAGACUCCCAACGCUUCAACCCCCCCCCCCCCAAAAAAACCCUGAGAAGCAGCCGUGUUUUCUUUGGACCGGCGGCGGUCAAAGGGAACAGAUCCCUAUCAGAUAGUUCGGGGAUGGAUUGAAACAGACGUGAGGGAUGACUUAAUUGAUAAACAAUGAGGCUGAGGUAGUUUUUUCUCCAGCGGAGCAGCUGCGCACACAGUCACACCUCCAGUCCUGUAAUUCAACAUCAGGACGGCCGCAGAUGUGCAGCAGCUCAGUGACUCACUGAGUCGCUCUUUUGUGUUUUCAAAGACAUUUGGAGCCAUUUAGAUAAUUCUGUCCUUGUUCUGUGUUGCUUUCACACCACCCGCAACUAAAUCAAAACCAAUCCAUCCAUUUGAAUCCAUAUUCAGGAAAAAAAAGGCGGGAAAAGGGAACACUGCAUCUCCUGCAUGGACGUUUGUCACACUGGAGGAGCUGGGUGGGUCAAGUUUGUUCAACGGUUGUGACAUCAGCGUUCUCACACUCAACCGCUGCAGGUGACGCGUGUGGGAGGAGCCUGUGAGCGGGACAUCCCGGCAGGCUCAUGGUUAAAGCGUGAAUUUUUCCUACUUAUGUUGUUUAAGCCACCCUUUGCAGGGAAGGCCGUUUCUUUCCAAAUCAACCUUCUUUCUCUCAGGGUUUGGCUGCGGUUGUUGAGAUGAGACGUCAUCACCUCGACAUCAGUAACAACAAAUAAAAUAAAAACAAAAUCAACACCUGAUCUGUAGCAACCAAAUAACAUACAGGUAAGAAAGUCAUCAUACAUUUAUGAAGUCAAAUACAUCCAAUGUUUGUUUGACACAGAGAUAAUGUUUUGCUAUAAUCCCAAAUCCAAUGAAAGAAUCCCUGUGGGCGCAGGGAUGCUAACUUCCUAUUGAACCAGAUAAAUACGCUUUCCCUGCAGCGGCCAUAAGAAGAGACAUUUUUUUAGGGACUUUAAGCAGAAGCCCGCACGCACAACGAUGCUGCGGCGUGUUUUAGUUCAUGAGUAAGAUAAUUGAAAGCCAUUAUGAGCCACAUUAUCGUACUGUCACCCUGCAGGGACGCUGCGCUCUGCAGUCUGAACUAAACUCACAGUCCAGAAUCACUGCUUACUUCAGCGUUUACAACGUGGCCGAGCAUCUGUCGGGGGGAAACCGGGCUGCACCACAUUGCACCUGACAGUCUGACGCAAACGCACAAAAAAUGUUGUUGCGUGAGAAAGUGUUGCGUGAGAUGUUAUUUACUGCAAACACAGGACGUCCAAGAACGCGUCAAAUUAAAGUGAUGCAAGCGCUCAGCAUUCCUCACACAAUCGAGGCGGUUCGGGUGCGUCGGCGUGUUUAUCAAAGAAAUGACUGAUCAUAAUAUCAGCCUUAUUGGUCUCAACAGAAAUGCCACAACCAUCUCGCAGAUUACUCCUUGAUGAGGAAAAUGCAAUUAAAACGUCAAGUGCGUUUUAUUAGAUUCUACCCACCCUGCAGGGUUUUAGCAGCCCCGGGGGUCCCCGGAUGCCCGGGCGAUGGAUGGCAUAUAUAGAAGCAACAUUAGGAAGAGCCGUGCCAAAAUAACAGCCGCUCGCUCCCCCGGUGCUCCGCCUUUCAUCGCCGCACAAUGCCGAGCGCGUGCACGCCGCUUCGCGCUCUAGCGCCUCAGCGGAGGCCCGUGUGGAGGUCUGCAGACGCUUGGUUUGCACCGUCCCGUUUGAGCUCUGAGGAGGUGAUCGCAGGACUGCGUGUGCAGUACGUGUUCAUCUGCAGAGACCCGAGGAAGGUUAUUGUUUCCGCACAUUCACGCGGUGAAAAGCGACAGCGCGUUUCCUCCUCGUCACUGCACGCAAUGACCUGAAGAGCACGAAGGACAAGGGGAGCGAUUACGUAUCUUCCUUUUAAAAGAACACGAGGCAACUGGAGUGUCGUUGGAGAGCCACGAGAUCGAAGCCUGCAGCGCAUUUCAAACAAAGAAAGUUUUAGCGUGAAAAAACGUUGGUCUCCUGAGACCAAAGGUGUGUCUCACCUCGAUCUAAUAAUCGCUUUACAACAAGGCCGACCGUCCUCGUGCUUACACUGCACGAGGACAUCACACUGGCUGCUUCACCUGAGGAGUCGAAAUGCAUGCUGGGAUAUUAAUAAGCACAUGCCUGAGUCAGAUGUGGAAAAUGAGUUUAGUGUAUGAAAUGUCGGAGAAAAGUAGAGAAUGUGUCACCGUAUACUUUUUGCACAUGUUUUAUCUGUGUUGUAUUAGAGAAGAAUGAUACAUCGUACAUCAUGUUUAGUCUCUGGACUAGUUUUGAAGUUUUUGUUAGUUGCCAAACUGGAUCUUUUUGUCUCUCUUUCGCUCUAAGAGCAAUUUUCUAUUUCCGCUUUUUCCAUGUGAAUUAUCGGUUUUUAAGCUUCCCCUCUGAGUAAAGGGACCACUUGAACCAAGUUUUAAAAGCAGUCUUAAACAUCCGUUCACACGGAGACAUUAGACGUCCACGACCUGCGCUGGGAAGGUCAAAUAUUACUCACCUAAAACGUCCAAAGACAAACUUUGUCCCCGCUCACAAAGCGCUUAAUGAAGAAGGUUUUACUCUCAGAGACACCGUGAAAUACCACUUUUACUCUUUAUGUCGGGCUUAAUUUUGCAUUAAUUACUUCAUUGGAGUGGAUGUGGCGUCAUGACCUUUAAAACGGGACUUUGUUUGGUUUCGCGUGAUGGGGCGCCGAUGACAGUGCAGCGGGGGAAAAACACAAAUAAAAAAAGGAGAUGGAAAAUAGAUCUUUUUAAUGGAGUUUAACAAUCGGUCUCUGGUGGACUCAUUAGGAUGACCAGUUUGACUUAUUUUACAGCCACUGGUAAUUAGUAUCGGCAGGAGUUAUAGCUGUAAUCAGCCAAGUUUUUCCCUUUGACUUUCCUCUUCGUUAGCCAUUAACUUUGGUGUUAUACUUGCUGCAGGAAGGCGGUCAAAUGUGUAAAAAGACAGCAGCCGUAAAACCAAUAAAACUGUAGGGUUCCUUCUGGGGAACUUUAAUACUUGCAGCGAUAUGAUAAUUCUUUUUACUUCAAAGCAGCCAUUAAAAAAAAUGACAAUUUUCAGUGCCUUUCAGCGGCUUGAUGGAGCCGCGAAGGCCUUGUUGGGUUUGACGUUAUUUUGGGUAACGGAGCCGCUCCUGUUGGCUCUGCAGGGGGUUCAGUGUUUCCUGAUAAAUAACAAACAGUAGAGACGCACGGUCUCUUCGGUGGCUAAAGACAAAUGUUUUAAAUUGUUUAUCAAAAGAAGUGUUUUACUUAUCAAAACAAUCCACAGCGGCACAUGAGAACAGUUGUAAGCGAGUGUGAGUUAAAAACAUAGAUGUACUUGUUAGAUGAAGCAUGGAUGAUAAACCACUAUUAAAUACAUUGAAGUGGCUUCAAACCAACCUUUCUAAUAUUUGAACAGUGUAUAAGUCUUCUCAUCUUACUUGAGGAAACAAAGAAGAAUAUGAUGAUUUUUUUUAACAUGCUGCAGAAUUUAAAGGUUUCCACAUUAUUAGAACUCUUUUAAAAAAAAUGAGAUUCAAACACUGUUUGAGGUUGAAAAUAGAAACUUCUCCAAGUUAUCACGAAGCAACAAGACCUGUCUGAACUCAUUUCAGCGUUGUUGUCUUUUUUAUAUCCUCCUCCUCUUUUUUUUUACUGCCCAUCUAAUGGCUUAUUUAUUACAUUCAUUCUUUAUAAGCCGGCUCCUGUGUGGCCUCAUUACGACUAUAGCACUGCUUUGGAAUUCCAGGAUAAUUAUGAGCUUCAUUGUUUUAAUAAGAGUCUUGGUCAGCGCCGGAUCUGGAGCUACGUCUUCACGGUUCCCAGGAGGGUGUGAGGAGGGGGGGAGGGGGCAAGAGCGCCGGACAGAUGGAGUCCGACGCACUGCAGGUAAAUAUUUAUGUGUGGAGGCUUGAAUCUCAUCAAUGGAUGCGGCCGCCUCAAUAAGUCUGUGACGCAACUUCAGCUGGUCCUUAAAUCAGACAAGUUAUUGAGACAAGUGGAAGGUCCUCACGGAGACCAGCAGAAGGUCCUCACGGAGACCAGUAGAAGGUCCUCAUGGAGACUAGCAGGUCCUCACGGAGACCAGCAGAAGGUCCUAAUGGAGACCAGCAGAAGGUCCUCACGGAGACCAGCAGAAGGUCCUAAUGGAGACCAGCAGAAGGUCCUAAUAGAGACCAGCAGAAGGUCCUCACGGAGACGCCCACGUAGUCGACCGGCUCCUCGAUGUUGGCAUGAAGCUGCAGAGGAGCCUCACGUGUGCGUGUGGCCAUGAUUUAUGCACAUGCACAUCAAUGUGGCGUCGGCAGGCUCCUCCUUCAACGUCCGUCCAGCUCUUUAAACUUGAAAUUUCAAUGUAGGACUUUGAUGUAUUUGUUUUUGAUCAGUUUUCUGGCAUUUUGACUGGCUCCCUCACAUAGAUUACCUUAGAUGAGUACGGUUAAAUAAUGUAAAUCGAGUAUUACUUCUCUUUCUCAGCUUUCUGCGGAACUGAAACCACGUUUACUUUUCGCAUUUACUUACAAAAGAUCUUCAAAAAGACGACGUCCCGCCUCUGGAGCGCCAUGUUCUGCAGCUCCUCCAGACGCCACUCAACCUGCCGCCCCGCUGAGACGUCACCGGGCCUGUGAUGUCAGUGUGUGGCCCGUUUUGUCUACUUUACGGGCCGUGUUUUCCAUCAGGGGGGGAAAAGGGGGAGUCCAGAGCCCCCGGCCAUAAAUCUGUGACUCUCCUGGAGCAUCUUCAUCCAAGACAGAAACAUCUAUUUUUUGGUUGUCGUCUGCUGAGAUCAUUAAAGGUAUUAGUUCUUCAUUGAACAUGCUGAAUCCAUUGGUUGAGCAAGCAGCUGAGGGAGCGAUGGAGCGCUCACCCACCCAGACUGCGGAUUGAUUUAUUAACUCGAUGAUGACCGCUCCGCCUGAGGAAUGUCGAUGGAGGCGGAGACGCUUCGCCUCGGAACGACCGCGCCGCCGCCGGGCCGAAUGUUCCAAGCGUAAAAAGACCUUUGUUAGGGUGAGUUCAUUCCGAAUUCAGAACGGGACACUGUGACUGAGACGAGCGGAAAAGUAAAUGUUGUUUUUGAGGUUUUCUUUUUCAUAGUGUGCAGCCUUCAUGCAACAUGGAAUAUACAACUAAUGUCAAUAUUUAUUAGCCAUUUACACAAAUUACUAACGACAAGUAGGAAUAACUGCUACAUCUGGACAUAAAUAUUUUAAGAAAAAUAUAAUAACAUUAUCAACAUUUCCAAUAGUAAGGCAAGUAUUGAUUUAAUAAAUUAUAAAAUAAACAUAAUUUUACAUAAUAUCAUGUAUAUCAUAUUAUCAGUCAAAUUAGCUUAAUAUGUAGUUUGUGUUGUGGUAUAGUAAGUCCCAUCAUUGAAGAGAGACUUUACAAUGCUGUCUUUUAAUAUCCAAAUUCUUUCCUCGUGUCCAAACUUUCCAAACAUUACGUCCUGGCGUGAGUCCAUCUGGAGAAGGUGUCGACAGUCUACGACAUGAGCGAUGAAACGCUAUCUGCAGCCGCAGAUGUUUGUGCGAUAUCAUCUCGGAGGUGCCCAGCUGUCUUCCGCUGAUCUUCUCUCCUCCGAAACAGAGCGAGCUCUCAGAUACGUUUUUUCUUCUUUUUAUGAUGAAUCUACAUAUUUCAUCUCUCCAGGGUGGAAGACGCAUUAUUGGGAAGUACUCGAUCUCUGCCUCCAUUUCCUGUCGGCCCUAAUGGCUUCCAGGUGAGAGGUGUUCCCCCGGCCCUCGCCUGGGAGUGCUUAUUAAAACUGUUUUCCUAUUGAUUCAGUUGGUUUGAUACUCACCAGAUUUGACAAAGCAAAGAUCUCAUGUUUGGCGUAAUAUUACAAGGGAAACAUAAGUGAGUUAUUUGGCCUUGCCGUGGAAACGUGACGUUGUUAAAGCACAGGCCCCUGAAACCUGAGAUGGGGAGAAGGUGGGAGGGGGGCGCAUUUGGUUUCCAUUAUUUGUUUUUUGCUCUAAAGAAACGUUAACAACAGCACCCAGGGAUUAAGUCAUGGUGCAGGUCGCGGCCAAGCCAAACAUCCUGCCUCCUCCAGAAGAACGAAGACAGAUGAAGAAGGGAAGCAGGUGUAAAGUGGACUCCAGCACCUCGCGUUCUCGGCCUCUCCGGGAGGUGUUGUGUGCACAAAGUCUGUCCUCCAAAAUCUACUCGCCCGAGCACUGAGGAGGAGGAGGAGGAGGAGGAGGAGGAGGAGGAGGAGGAAACGAUUUCCAUAUUCCUGCACACACUGAACACUGUUCAUGGGAACUGUUAAAGGAUUCUGAUGGUGUGUUUAAUGGGAGGGGAGUCUGCUCCCGCCUCUGUAUUUAUUAGACUGGUUUCAUGCCUCUGUGUGUGUGUGUGUGUGUGUGUGUGUGGCCUGUUAUGCAUCAAGGGCUGGAUUUAUGAUUCAGGGUCUUGUGGUUCUGUGAUGGUGCAGGGUCACCGCAACACACGCAAAGUAUGAAUCUGUGCGUUGCUUAUUUAUGGCCUGCACUGUAUGUGGGUGUCAUGUUUUUUAUCCCUCUGGUCCUGCAGAGUGAAGCAGAUGUGGCAGUUUCAUUAAGCUGUUUUUUCUCUGGUGACCACCAGGGGGCGACUCCUCUGGUCCUGUAGAACUCAAUGAGAAAAUUACUCUACUUCUCUCUUGAUUUAUGUCCUCAGUAAACAUUGUAAACAUUAUUUUAUGGUCUCAGUCUCUAGUUCCAAGUCUUCCUCAAUACAGCAUGAUGUUCAUUCAGUAAAUGAUGGUCUAUUUAGAGUCAAACAGACCAUAAAGCAGGGGAUGCUUUAGGGCGGAGCUACGGGGUGAUUGACAGGUCUGAACCGCAGACAUAUACGUGGUCUAUAUGUCCUCCUCAGCUCAGAUGUGGGGUUACGCCUCCCCGUCAGCCCUGAACACUGCUUCACAACUAAACACACACACACAGAGAGAAAUCCAAAAGUGAGCCUGUAGUUGUAUCACGAUGACAUCAUCACCUCACAGGAAACGGUCUAAUUCUUUAAGAGCACAGUGACAUCAUAACCCCAUUCCAAUCGCCGCCCAAACCAAACACACCUGCACUCGCUCUACGACCCCCACCGCCCCUCCCUCCCCCACCCGUGACAGAUUAGGAAAUAUUUCAAUGAUUACUAGAAUCUAAACAUCAGCAGAUUAUUUUGACCUUCUCCCCUUCUGUACCUCUCGAAUCAAUCAGAUGAAAAUGAACACUUUAAACAUGACGUACGGUUUUGUGGCUCUUAAUUUGUUUUUCACUGUGUUAUAAUUUUUGCAUGACAUUUUUAUGACAUGCUAUGCUUUUACCAUGACUUCAAAUAUCCUGCUAUUGCAUGACUUUCUAAUGGCAUGCUAUAUACUUUUAGUUGUCACGAUGACAUACUAUACUAUUAAAUACUAUACAUUCUAUUCAAUUGCCUGGUAGGACUUUUUAUGAUGUAUUACACAAUAACCUUUUAUGAGUUUUUGGUAAUGAGUAAUUAUGAGUUCAUUUUGAAACUGCAUAAUUUAAAAUUAUAUUUUUAUAAUUUGCUCUACUGUGAGUUAUUGAGACAUAAGACAUAAGUUUCCAUGACUUCCAUGAAUGAUUCACUGUACAAUGGCCUUUAACGACUGUUUUGUGGAAUGCGUCUGACCUUCUAUGACUUGAAUGAAUCAAAAUAAUAUAUUGGUACAUAAUAUUUCUUGAUGACGAUAAUGCUAAAACCCUUUACGUUUUUUACCAUAUAAUACUUUUCAUGACAUAUUAGAUUAUAACUUUUUAUUACCCAUUUAUGACUUUUUAAGUCUACACUAUGGAUUUCUAUAUAUUUCAUAUGUAUCAUUUUAGAGACCCUAACUUUUGUACCCUACUAAUUGUAAAGAAUUUCAACAGAACAGACAUCUUAUGUAAAUAAAAUCAUAAAAAGGGUGUGCAUGUUAAGAAAAGAAAUGAAAUUAUAUUAUUAUGUUAAACAAAAAUCAUAAAAAAGUAUACAUUAUGUCAAAAAUAAGUAAUAAAGUGAGUACUAAAUAUUGAAAAUAAGUCAUAAAAGGUUCCUAGUAUAGAAUGUCACAUAAAAAUAAAUAAAUGACGUGUUUAUACACGCGGACGUCAAAGUUUACUUUGCAUUCUUCAGUUUAACUCAUCUUAAGAAGCUUUUUAAAACAAGAGCCUGUUGACAGCCGAGAGUUCAAGCCAAAUGUAAUCUUUAUUAGACUGUUUCUGUACAAAAAGCACUGGAUCACAGGAAAAAAAACAAAAAAAGACAUGCAUCUAUUUACAGCAUGGCCAGAGACGGAAAAGAAAGAAAGCUGUUUGUACUCUAAAGACAUUAAUUAAACAUUGUGCUUUGAUAUACUUUGAUGAUAUAUUUCAUAUUUCACAAAGAUGCAGUACCUCUGCCCUCUUUCACAUUGAAGUAAAACAUCGAGUAAAAGUAAAACUUUUGCCGUUUUUAACGACCUCGGCCGGGAGAACCAGGACGGUGAGAAGCAAAAACUUUCUACAAACUGUGACCAAAGUAAAAAUAAAAUAAGACGGUUUGAGAGGUGGAGGCGGACGGAGAGGUUGGAGGCGGACGGAGGCCGGCUGCGUUCCCUCAGUGUCGCUGAGACCAAUGGCUUCUCCUAAAGACACUGGGCAGAUGUUCAGCUGAUGUUGUGCAGAGGCCGAAGCGUCUGGAUUUGCAUAAAGUCAAAAGUCCAAAACUUGGGAUUCUCCUUCACUCACGUGAUGGAUCUUAUGGCGCACAGAUGUUCCAAAUGAAGCAACAUUGGCUCGGAAAUUUCACGUAAUGGCAAAGCCGUUUAAUAGUUUUGUUGUAAAAGUUUGAGAUUCUGAGGAAUUCACAUUUCUUUUGGUUGAUUUUAUGAUUUUUUUCUCAUUUUUGUCCACUUUAAAUAUAUAUAUACACAUUAUAUAUAUAUAUA